rnacentral:misc_RNA from 1 species
GGUAUUACGUGUUGGGCUCGCUCGAGUCUAACAACGGUAUCGGCAAUCUCGUUCGAAUUCCCGCAGGGAGGGCUCGCUUUUGGGAGCCUAUGGGGGCUGGCAAACCCACGUUCCCGCAGCCAGGGGGACCGUCGGGACAAGCGUCCUGCUUACGUGAGUCCCUAUGUACUCCGCAGGGAAGGUCGCCGUGAGUGUAAGGCGUUUAAUUACAGUUACAUUCUCUCUACGUGGCCUUGGGUAGUAGCGCACCCAC